rnacentral:rRNA from 1 species
AUUGAACGCUGGCGGCAUGCCUUACACAUGCAAGUCGAACGGCAGCACGGGAGCAAUCCUGGUGGCGAGUGGCGAACGGGUGAGUAAAGUAUCGGAACGUGCCCAGUCGUGGGGGAUAACGUAGCGAAAGUUACGCUAAUACCGCAUACGAUCUAUGGAUGAAAGCGGGGGAUCGCAAGACCUCGCGCGAUUGGAGCGGCCGAUAUCAGAUUAGGUAGUUGGUGGGGUAAAGGCUCGCCAAGCCGACGAUCUGUAGCUGGUCUGAGAGGACGACCAGCCACACUGGGACUGAGACACGGCCCAGACUCCUACGGGAGGAAGCAGUGGGGAAUUUUGGCCAAUGGGCGAAAGCCUGAUCCAGCCAUGCCGCGUGCAGGAUGAAGGCCUUCGGGUUGUAAACUGCUUUUGUACGGAACGAAAAGGUUUGGGCUAAUAAGCUGAGCUCAUGACGGUACCGUAAGAAUAAGCACCGGCUAACUACGUGCCAGCCGCCGCGGUAA